rnacentral:rRNA from 1 species
GUCCACGCCUAACGAUGGAUGCUAGAUGUCGGACGUAAGUCUCGGUAUCGCAGCUAACGCGUUAAGCAUCCGCCUGGGAGUACGGUCGCAAGAUUAAACUCAAAGGAAUUGACGGGACCCGCACAAGCGGUGGAGCAUGUGGUUAAUUCGAGGCAACGCGAAGAACCUUACCAGCUCUUGACAUCCUGUUCGCCGUGUAUGUAACGUACACUUCGGUUCGGCCGGAACAGAGACAGGUGCUGCAUGGCUGUCGU